GAGAUUCCCCCGCCUGGGGCUCAACCUGUUUCUCCCCAAGGGUCUCAGCCCGUUGCACUGGUGGGCAUCCCUUCCCCGUUUGGACUUGGUGCUUGGUGUCCACCAUGUCCACCACAGUCCAAGGCGCCCCCUGUUCCAUACUGUUUCCCCGGGCCACAACACCUUGCCAUGACUGGCUCGUCGGCUCAAGGGAUUUCGUGAGCAUCUGCUGGUGUUGGUGCCUCAUAGGACUUCGAUCUGCAAGCUUGGACAUUGUCAUGGUGUGGUGUGAUUGCUUUUGGUACUACUUACAGUGUUGAUGGUGACCGUUGAUGCAAAUGGACUGGCUGCUCCUUGCUACUGAAGAUCCAACAAUGUCAAUCCAACAAUGGCAUUGCGCUUUUAUCAUUAUUUAGAUCAAUAAUUAACAGCUUGUGUGCCAUAGAUCUUAUUUGACUGUACUUUUCAUUAAUGUUACUUUUGUAAUGUUUAGUUGUUGGUGUCAUGCUACUAUGUGCCAUCAGGUUAUUCUUUUCUAAAAAAAUGUGCCAUCAGGUUAUGUGUGUGAUGUUGCUUCGGCAUAAUCUGUCAGCUAGCUAUUAAAAUGAACUAUGUUGCUUCAGAUUAAUUUAUUUUGGUAUGUCUUAAUGACUGCAA